GAUGAACGCUAGCGGCAGGCUUAACACAUGCAAGUCGAGGGGUAGAGGCUUUCGGGCCUUGAGACCGGCGCACGGGUGCGUAACGCGUAUGCAAUCUGCCUUGUACUGGGGGAUAGCCCAGAGAAAUUUGGAUUAAUACCCCAUAGUAUUUUCGGUUGGCAUCAACUGAUUAUUAAAGUUUUUCGGUACAAGAUGAGCAUGCGUCCCAUUAGCUAGUUGGUAUGGUAACGGCAUACCAAGGCUACGAUGGGUAGGGGUCCUGAGAGGGAGAUCCCCCACACUGGUACUGAGACACGGACCAGACUCCUACGGGAGGCAGCAGUGAGGAAUAUUGGUCAAUGGUCGCAAGACUGAACCAGCCAUGCCGCGUGCAGGAUGAAGCAUCUAUGGUGUGUAAACUGCUUUUGUACGGGAAGAAACACUCCUACGUGUAGGAGCUUGACGGUACCGUAAGAAUAAGGAUCGGCUAACUCCGUGCCAGCCGCCGCGGUAA
rnacentral:rRNA from 1 species